GUAUUAAGUUUAUUACUCGUUAAAGUAAAGGUCAGACAAAAUACAGGCAAAGGUUGAAGGGUCAAUAAUCCUUUCAAUAAGUGCGUCGAUUGGGGUUUGAUGGAUUUUGGUAAGGAAUUUUCAAUAAUGUGAAGAGGAAAGUUCCCCAUCACAAAUACUAAAAACCCUUGUUCUACCAAAUUGAUAAUGAUCCUUCCGCAGGUUCACCUACGGAAA
rnacentral:misc_RNA from 1 species